rnacentral:rRNA from 2 species
ACUAAGUUUCAACAACGGAUCUCUUGGCUCUCGCAUCGAUGAAGAGCGCAGCGAAAUGCGAUAAGUAAUGUGAAUUGCAGAAUUCAGUGAAUCAUCGAAUCUUUGAACGCACCUUGCGCUCCUUGGUAUUCCUUGGAGCAUGCCUGUUUGAGUAUCAUGAAAU